CCUGGAACGUUAUUAGAGUGAGUUUUUCCUAGAUCUGCUUACUGAAUACCUGUUGAACUUUCACACUGAUGGCCAGUUCCAAGACUUAAGCAUGACCUUGCGACCAUUGGUGAUAGUGCUUUCUUGAUCUGCUGAAUCAAAUUGAAGCAGAACUGGGGGUACUACUAGGAAUGAGGGGUGACUAGGGAUGGGGCUGGGGCGAGGGGUAUAUUGGGUAACUGAGGAUGACCAGUGUCAGAGAGCACAAAGAUGAUGGUGAAGGGCAGGUAGACCACCUCCCACUUGGUGGGAAAGUCUGUUCCUGGCUGGAACUGGUUCAUUCAUUCCAAGCCAGCAACAGCUCCAGGUUUGGACGCCAUUUAU
rnacentral:lncRNA from 1 species